rnacentral:rRNA from 1 species
AGUGAACGCUGGCGGUAGGCCUAACACAUGCAAGUCGAACGGCAGCACAGUAAGAGCUUGCUCUUACGGGUGGUGAGUGGCGGACGGGUGAGGAAUACAUCGGAAUCUACUUUUUCGUGGGGGAUAACGUAGGGAAACUUACGCUAAUACCGCAUACGACCUACGGGUGAAAGCAGGGGAUCUUCGGACCUUGCGCGAUUGAAUGAGCCGAUGUCGGAUUAGCUAGUUGGCGGGGUAAAGGCCCACCAAGGCGACGAUCCGUAGCUGGUCUGAGAGGAUGAUCAGCCACACUGGAACUGAGACACGGUCCAGACUCCUACGGGAGGCAGCAGUGGGGAAUAUUGGACAAUGGGCGCAAGCCUGAUCCAGCCAUACCGCGCGGGUGAAGAAGGCCUUCGGGUUGUAAAGCCCUUUUGUUGGGAAAGAAAAGCAGCAGGUUAAUACCCCGCUGUUCUGACGGUACCCAAAGAAUAAGCACCGGCUAACUUCGUG